GUGGCGAGGCGGCCCCCUGGACAAGGACUGACGCUGAGGUGCGAAAGCGUGGGUAGCAAACAGGAUUAGAUACCCUGGUAGUCCACGCUGUAAACGAUGUCGAUUUGGAGGUUGUGACCUAGUGUUAUGGCGUCCGAAGCUAACGCGAUAAAUCGACCGCCUGGGGAGUACGGCCGCAAGGUUAAAACUCAAAUGAAUUGACGGGGGCCCGCACAAGCGGUGGAGCAUGUGGUUUAAUUCGAUGCAACGCGAAGAACCUUACCUACUCUUGACAUCCACGGAAUUUAGCAGAGAUGCUUAAGUGCCUUCGGGAGCCGUGAGACAGGUGCUGCAUGGCUGUCGUCAGCUCGUGUUGUGAAAUGUUGGGUUAAGUCCCGCAACGAGCGCAACCCUUGUCCUUUGUUGCCAGCACGUGAUGGUGGGAACUCAAAGGAGACUGCCGGUGAUAAACCGGAGGAAGGUGGGGAUGACGUCAAGUCAUCAUGGCCCUUACGAGUAGGGCUACACACGUGCUACAAUGGCGCAUACAAAGAGCGGCGAGCGUGCGAACGUAAGCGAACCUCAUAAAGUGCGUCGUAGUCCGGAUUGGAGUCUGCAACUCGACUCCACGAAGUCGGGAAUCGCAA
rnacentral:rRNA from 1 species